UACGUAGGGGGCGAGCGUUGUCCGGAUUUAUUGGGCGUAAAGCGCUCGCAGGCGGUCCGAUGCGUCGUGCGUGAAAGCCCCCGGCUCAACUGGGGAGGGUCAUUCGAUACUGUCCGACUCGAAGGCAGGAGAGGGAAGCGGAAUUCCCGGUGUAGUGGUGAAAUUCGUAGAUAUUCGCAAGAACACCAGUGGCGAAGGCGGCUCACUGGCCCGGUACUGACGCUGAGGUGCGAAAGCGUGGGGAGCAAACAGG
rnacentral:rRNA from 1 species